GACAGAGGAUGCAAGCGUUAUCCAGAAUCAUUGGGCGUAAAGCAUCUGUAGGUGGCUUUUCAAGUCCGCCGUCAAAUCCCAGGGCUCAACCCUGGACAGGCGGUGGAAACUACCAAGCUGGAGUACGGUAGGGACAGAGGGAAUUUCCGGUGGAGCGGUGAAAUGCAUUGAGAUCGGAAAGAACACCAACGGCGAAAGCACUCUGCUGGGCCGACACUGACACUGAGAGACGAAAGCUAGGGGAGCAAAUGGG
rnacentral:rRNA from 1 species